GUGUGCGUCGCUCCCCCGCCCGACGAGCCGGCCGCCAGGCGCGCGGCCACCUGCUCCGCGCGACACGGGCGUGUGGGCUCCCCGCCCCGCUCACGGCUCCCACGCCAUUCUGUUGCGACCUCCCCACUCCGCUGAUUCUUCUGCCCAGACCGACCCGCCCCGCUCUCAUCCCACAUUCAGGACCAAGAUAAAGGAUAAGCUUGGCAAAUUAAACAAGGAGAAGUUGCUAGACUUUCAUGAACUACUCGAUAUUUGUGUUUCAAAAUCAACAAGGAAGCAGAUGCAUGUGCCCCCAAAACAUGGAGUCUGCACAUUAUUUUUCAAAUAUUAGGGUUUUUGAUGAAGUGUGCGUGCCACCCCUCAGGUGGACAAAAUGAAGGGUGGAUUCCUUGUGGAUGUUAAUGUAAGAUCAUCAGAACUUUGACCGUAGAAUUUUUCUAUGUAAAUAAAACUAAGUAAUUUGAAUAUUUUUUAGGUGUUAUAUCAUGCAGAUAUGGUAUGAAGAUACAUUAAUUCUUACUUAAACCAUGAGCACCUUUAUAUUGAAAUAACUAGUUUUUGGGUAAAAAUCUUAAUGUCUAUCUGUCUUAAAUUUUCUUUGGAAAUUGUGUUAUAAGAUCUGAUAUUUUCAUUUCUUUUUAUGGCGGACAAACUUAUCUAUGAGCUACUUUAUAUUCAAGCAAGCUACUUCCUCACCCUUACUGCCCUCCUUGUUUAUAUGGUAAAUGAACUUAUCCAAGUGCUGCAGUAUAUUCCGGUAAGUAGUUGCUUGCAUAUGGCAACUGUUUACAAAAUACUUCCAUGCAAAUAAUAUAUUUUCUCUUUUAUUGAAUAAUUUUUCUGAACUUUGUAUAGCUUUCUUGCCUUAUAUUCUAAAACCUUUGUUUACAGAAAGUAAGCUAUUGUAUAUUUUAUUUUUCAUUCAUUAAUAGUUCUUUUUGUUUUUAGAACCACUGAUAUUUCACCCCUUCCUACUUUUCCAUUUUUCUAAUUGUUCUGUUACUUAUAAGUUUAACUUAGUUAUACUCAGACAACUAAUUUUUCCAAGUCAAAUCUGCAUAAAUGUAGUGUAAUUUUUGGAACAAGACUAGUGUACAUUUCUUCCACUAGGAUUUUUUACACACUAAUUUUUUUAACUAGAUAUAAGUAGUUAUUAUCUCAUUAUUGAUCCAUAGAUCUAUUUUUCUUAAGGAGUGGAGUUAUUAUUUUUACCAUUGUUAGGAUAGCACCACCAUCUCUGCAUUUAUGAUAUCAAAUUGACCUUUUUAAUGUGCCAGUGUAACUACUAUUACAAAAAGUUAUAGUCCCGUUGAUGUUACUAUGUGUAAGUUGUAGUUUGUUGCAAUGCAAUAUUUUUUUCAUGACUUAUGGUGGAUGCUUCGUUGAUAGGUGACCUAAUCUUGCUUUUGUUUUGCUUUGUUUAGAUCUGCAAUGCUUUUAUCUCAUCGGAUUUGUGUUUGUUCAUUGAACUGACUAAAUGUCAAUCGAUUGACAAAGAGACACAUCCUUAUUAUAAUUAGAGUUGUUGGAUUGAUGGCUGCA